CUGCUCCUGAGUACAGAUCCAUCUUCCUCUGAGAGAGCCACGCAGCUCCAAAUACAAUUGAUUCUAAGAGAAAAUUGCCCACCUUUUAGAGUAAAUAAAGUUGAGAACGGGGCUGAGCAACUUCAUUUCCACUUCCUAGCAGAGCGACUGAAGGCUGAGCUUCCUUCGACUUCAAUUGCUCUCCUGAGAAAGUUUUUAUUUAGCUUAACAGAAGAAAGCACAGUUUCUAGACCAUAGAGGAGGAAAAAAAAAAAAAAAAAAAAAAAAAAAUAUGAAUAAAUGACCCAGGCUAAAUGCCAGUUCCUUGCAAAGAAUUUCAUUUAAGCUUCACUGAAUUGA
ensembl:lincRNA Gm28641 predicted gene 28641